rnacentral:rRNA from 1 species
AUUGAACGCUGGCGGCAGGCUUAACACAUGCAAGUCGAGCGGGGGAGGUUGCUUCGGUAACUGACCUAGCGGCGGACGGGUGAGUAAUGCUUAGGAAUCUGCCUAUUAGUGGGGGACAACAUUCCGAAAGGAAUGCUAAUACCGCAUACGCCCUACGGGGGAAAGCAGGGGAUCUUCGGACCUUGCGCUAAUAGACGAGCCUAAGUCGGAUUAGCUGGUUGGUGGGGUAAAGGCCUACCAAGGCGAGGAUCUGUAGCGGGGCUGAGAGGAUGGUCCGCCACACUGGAGCUGAGACACGGCCCAGACUCCUACGGGAGGCAGCAGUGGGGAAUAUUGGACAAUGGGCGGAAGCCUGAUCCAGCCAUGCCGCGUGUGUGAAGAAGGCCUUUUGGUUGUAAAGCACUUUAAGCGAGGAGGAGGCUCUUAAGGUUAAUACCCUUGAUGAGUGGACGUUACUCGCAGAAUAAGCACCGGCUAACUCUGUGCCAGCAGCCGCCGCGGUAA